UAUUAGCAGCAACUGACUUCCUGGGGACCAAGGAAAAAACCAAACUGCCUUCCUUAAUCAUUAUUGCAUCAUUAGGAUAACUGGAUCUGUUUGAAUUCAAUGAAUUGUAAGGUCUCUUCUAAUCUAUGAUGGUGCUCAUGGUGGAAAGCCGUCCAGCAAGCCACAGUCACUCAGUCUAGUCUACUUUACAAAACCGUUGUGAAAACGAAGAUGCUGCUCUGUGCUUCUUAGAGGGAGGCCAGGAUACAAAUACAAUGCAAACACAAAUAUUACUGUUCUUCCCGAAGCCUCCGGUUCUGUGUCAGAGGAUAGUGGGCUGGACAGACAAUUCACUGACCAUUCUACAGAAGCCAGCAACUGCUUAAGCAGACCUAUAUUAAGAUAAACCAUGUCUUCUUUGAUCCCAGUAUCCCGACAGAUGCUGGGUAUUUUAAAGACAAUCCCAAAAGCAUCCCAAACAGGUCCUUUUUUCCUCUGCUCCAUAGUCUUACAGCAUUGGAACUCCAGAGAUGCCUUGACAACUAGCACAAGGGAUCUUGUCCUGGGAUAACCGAGUCAUUGCAGUAUUAUGUCUUCUGCUUUUUACCAUAGACACAAUCUCUCUUUUCA